AUGGAUCAUAGAGAGCCAAUCUACCAAGAAGAAGAACAAGGAUCACAACAAGAAGGGUACCACAUCCGGUUCAGCGAGCAAGUGUUUCCGCGGACUCCAAGCCGGGCUCACACUCGAAAAGGCGACUUGGCUAAAGGUGCAGCCGACAGACUACGAGGACAUGCGGAAGGGAGCCCAAACUGCAUUUGAACACAU